GUCAACAACUACUUCGGUAGUAGCUGGAAGUCCAGAAAUCACGGGGUGGGCGUUUCUUGAAUGAUCUUGACCCAUGUUGGGUCUUCUAACUUCUGUCUCCACAUUCAACAUUAAAUAUACCAUAUCUCUCCAAAGGUCAUGCCUGUUCCAGUAUCCUGAACUCAGUGAGGAGGUUGGAUCAAGUGUCAAAGGAAUGAAGGUCAAGCUCUGGAUUUUAUCAGAGAGUCUGAGCAAGACCACUGAUGUUCUGGGAAAAACUUGACUUUUCAGUGGGAUCUUCAUCUGCUGUACAUAACCAACAACCUCUGCUGUGAUGAAAACCAGGUGAUGAUAAAAGGUGCUGCAGUUGGCAUGACUGCUGACAAGAGACACUCAGAGGUUCACUUCAAAUUCAAUAUUCAGAUUGUCUUCAUGGUCUUUCCUUAGUCUCCCCUUAGAGACAGAACUGAAAUUCACCCUGGACCACAUCUUUUACAUGCAGGCCCUUUGUAGGGAGGAGAACAAAGACCUGGAGAUGUCAUGCUGUUCACCUGUACAAACAGUGCAGAGGAGCAGGCAACCAACACCAGACCUUCUGGGUGCUAGGACCCUGUCACUAUCCAAGGGCUAUCUAGGAUGACUCUGUACAGGCGGUAUGGCAGAAGUUAAUUCUUUCCAAAAGAGCCUGACUGACAUAGUAAAGAGGGCUCCCACAACCUCCCUCUCGCAGUCUCCAUCAACUCUUGCAUGUCUCCUUGGCAACCACUUCAGAGAGUUUGUGAUUCUCCUGACAGGAGAGCUCCAGCAAAAUCUCGGACUUCAGGCUCAUGAUACUGAAGAGACUGUUCUAGCUGAUGAGGCCGGGCUUAGAAGAUGGACUACAGCCAAGAACCCUGGCCACCAUAACGACAAGUCACACCUUUAGGGAACACUUGAAAAGCACUUAUGCACAGUAGAAAAGUACAAGGAUUAAAGUCUCCUCAGGCAUUCCAGCAUAGAGAGAGUCUGACAGACUCAGGUCAGAGGUUACCUCCAAAUAAUAGAAGAGGAAGAAGGUCCUGCUUGACAGAAGAAGCCUGUGGCUGAGGC
rnacentral:lncRNA from 1 species